rnacentral:rRNA from 1 species
AUUGCACGCUAGCGGGAUGCUUUCCACAUGCAAGUCGAACGCGUGGCGGACGGGUGAGUAAUAUAUCGGAACGUGCCCAGUAGAGGGGGAUAACUACUCGAAAGAGUGGCUAAUAACGCAUACUAUUGGAGCGGCCGAUAUCGGAUUAGCUAGUUGGUGGGGUAAAGUCGCACAAAGGCCACGUUCCGUAGUUGGUUUGAGAGGACGACCAGCCACAGUGUGAAUGAGACACGGCCCAGACUCCUACGGGAGGCAGCAGUGGGGGAUUUUGGACAAUGGGGGAAACCCUGAUCCAGCCAUCCCGCGUGUAUGAGAAGGCCUUCGGGUUGUAAAGUACUUUUGGCAGAGAAGCGGUAUCUGCAGAAUAAGCACCGGCGAAAUACGUGCCAGCAGCCGCGGUAAUAC